GACGAACGCUGGCGGCGUGCCUAAUACAUGCAAGUAGAACGCUGAAGAGAGGAGCUUGCUCUUCUUGGAUGAGUUGCGAACGGGUGAGUAACGCGUACGUAACCUGCCUUGUAGCGGGGGAUAACUAUUGGAAACGAUAGCUAAUACCGCAUAACAAUGGAUGACACAUGUCAUUUAUUUGAAAGGGGCAAUUGCUCCACUGCAAGAUGGACCUGCGUUGUAUUAGCUAGUAGGUGAGGUAACGGCUCACCUAUGCGACGAUACAUAGCCGACCUGAGAGGGUGAUCGGCCACACUGGGACUGAGACACGGCCCAGACUCCUACGGGAGGCAGCAGUAGGGAAUCUUCGGCAAUGGGGGCAACCCUGACCGAGCAACGCCGCGUGAGUGAAGAAGGUUUUCGGAUCGUAAAGCUCUGUUGUAAGUCAAGAACGAGUGUGAGAGUGGAAAGUUCACACUGUGACGGUAGCUUACCAGAAAGGGACGGCUAACUACGUGCCAGCAGCCGCGGUAAUACGUAGGUCCCGAGCGUUGUCCGGAUUUAUUGGGCGUAAAGCGAGCGCAGGCGGUUUGGUAAGUCUGAAGUUAAAGGCUGUGGCUCAACCAUAGUUCGCUUUGGAAACUGUCAAACUUGAGUGCAGAAGGGGAGAGUGGAAUUCCAUGUGUAGCGGUGAAAUGCGUAGAUAUAUGGAGGAACACCGGUGGCGAAAGCGGCUCUCUGGUCUGUAACUGACGCUGAGGCUCGAAAGCGUGGGGAGCGAACAGGAUUAGAUACCCUGGUAGUCCACGCCGUAAACGAUGAGUGCUAGGUGUUGGAUCCUUUCCGGGAUUCAGUGCCGCAGCUAACGCAUUAAGCACUCCGCCUGGGGAGUACGACCGCAAGGUUGAAACUCAAAGGAAUUGACGGGGGCCCGCACAAGCGGUGGAGCAUGUGGUUUAAUUCGAAGCAACGCGAAGAACCUUACCAGGUCUUGACAUCCCGAUGCUAUUUCUAGAGAUAGAAAGUUACUUCGGUACAUCGGUGACAGGUGGUGCAUGGUUGUCGUCAGCUCGUGUCGUGAGAUGUUGGGUUAAGUCCCGCAACGAGCGCAACCCCUAUUGUUAGUUGCCAUCAUUCAGUUGGGCACUCUAGCGAGACUGCCGGUAAUAAACCGGAGGAAGGUGGGGAUGACGUCAAAUCAUCAUGCCCCUUAUGUCCUGGGCUACACACGUGCUACAAUGGUUGGUACAACGAGCUGCGAGUCGGUGACGGCAAGCUAAUCUCUUAAAGCCAAUCUCAGUUCGGAUGGUAGGCUGCAACUCGCCUACAUGAAGUCGGAAUCGCUAGUAAUCGCGGAUCAGCACGCCGCGGUGAAUACGUUCCCGGGCCU
rnacentral:rRNA from 1 species